rnacentral:rRNA from 1 species
UUAAAUUGAAGAGUUUGAUCAUGGCUCAGAUUGAACGCUGGCGGCAGGCCUAACACAUGCAAGUCGAACGGUAACAGGAAACAGCUUGCUGUUUCGCUGACGAGUGGCGGACGGGUGAGUAAUGUCUGGGAAACUGCCUGAUGGAGGGGGAUAACUACUGGAAACGGUAGCUAAUACCGCAUAACGUCGCAAGACCAAAGAGGGGGACCUUCGGGCCUCUUGCCAUCGGAUGUGCCCAGAUGGGAUUAGCUUGUUGGUGGGGUAACGGCUCACCAAGGCGACGAUCCCUAGCUGGUCUGAGAGGAUGACCAGCCACACUGGAACUGAGACACGGUCCAGACUCCUACGGGAGGCAGCAGUGGGGAAUAUUGCACAAUGGGCGCAAGCCUGAUGCAGCCAUGCCGCGUGUAUGAAGAAGGCCUUCGGGUUGUAAAGUACUUUCAGCGGGGAGGAAGGGAGUAAAGUUAAUACCUUUGCUCAUUGACGUUACCCGCAGAAGAAGCACCGGCUAACUCCGUGCCAGCAGCCGCGGUAAUACGGAGGGUGCAAGCGUUAAUCGGAAUUACUGGGCGUAAAGCGCACGCAGGCGGUUUGUUAAGUCAGAUGUGAAAUCCCCGGGCUCAACCUGGGAACUGCAUCUGAUACUGGCAAGCUUGAGUCUCGUAGAGGGGGUAGAAUUCCAGGUGUAGCGGUGAAAUGCGUAGAGAUCUGGAGGAAUACCGGUGGCGAAGGCGGCCCCCUGGACGAAGACUGACGCUCAGGUGCGAAAGCGUGGGGAGCAAACAGGAUUAGAUACCCUGGUAGUCCACGCCGUAAACGAUGUCGACUUGGAGGUUGUGCCCUUGAGGCGUGGCUUCCGGAGCUAACGCGUUAAGUCGACCGCCUGGGGAGUACGGCCGCAAGGUUAAAACUCAAAUGAAUUGACGGGGGCCCGCACAAGCGGUGGAGCAUGUGGUUUAAUUCGAUGCAACGCGAAGAACCUUACCUGGUCUUGACAUCCACGGAAGUUUUCAGAGAUGAGAAUGUGCCUUCGGGAACCGUGAGACAGGUGCUGCAUGGCUGUCGUCAGCUCGUGUUGUGAAAUGUUGGGUUAAGUCCCGCAACGAGCGCAACCCUUAUCCUUUGUUGCCAGCGGUCCGGCCGGGAACUCAAAGGAGACUGCCAGUGAUAAACUGGAGGAAGGUGGGGAUGACGUCAAGUCAUCAUGGCCCUUACGACCAGGGCUACACACGUGCUACAAUGGCGCAUACAAAGAGAAGCGACCUCGCGAGAGCAAGCGGACCUCAUAAAGUGCGUCGUAGUCCGGAUUGGAGUCUGCAACUCGACUCCAUGAAGUCGGAAUCGCUAGUAAUCGUGGAUCAGAAUGCCACGGUGAAUACGUUCCCGGGCCUUGUACACACCGCCCGUCACACCAUGGGAGUGGGUUGCAAAAGAAGUAGGUAGCUUAACCUUCGGGAGGGCGCUUACCACUUUGUGAUUCAUGACUGGGGUGAAGUCGUAACAAGGUAACCGUAGGGGAACCUGCGGUUGGAUCACCUCCUUACCUUAAAGAAGC